AACGAACGCUGGCGGCAUGCCUAACACAUGCAAGUCGAACGAGACCUCCGGGUCUAGUGGCGCACGGGUGCGUAACGCGUGGGAACCUGCCCUUAGGUUCGGAAUAACUCUCCGACAGGGGUGCUAAUACCGGAUAAUGUCUUCUGACCAAAGAUUUAUCGCCUUUGGAUGGGCCCGCGUUGGAUUAGCUGGUUGGUAGGGUAAAAGCCUACCAAGGCGACGAUCCAUAGCUGGUCUGAGAGGAUGGUCAGCCACACUGAGGCUGAGACGCGGCCCAGAAUCCUACGGGAGGCAGCAGUGGGGAAUAUUGGAAAAUGGGGGGAAGCCUGAUCGAGCAAUGCCGGGUGAGUGAUGAAGGCCGUAGAGUUGUAAAGCUCUUUUACCCGGGAUGAUAAUGACGGUACCGGGAGAAUAAGCUCCGGCUAACUCCGUG
rnacentral:rRNA from 1 species